rnacentral:rRNA from 1 species
AUUGAACGCUGGCGGCAUGCCUUACACAUGCAAGUCGAACGGCAGCAGGGGAGAAGCUUGCUUUUCCUGCCGGCGAGUGGCGAACGGGUGAGUAAUACAUCGGAACGUGCCCUGUAGUGGGGGAUAACUAGUCGAAAGAUUAGCUAAUACCGCAUACGACCUGAGGGUGAAAGUGGGGGACCGCAAGGCCUCAUGCUAUAGGAGCGGCCGAUGUCUGAUUAGCUAGUUGGUGGGGUAAAGGCCUACCAAGGCGACGGUCAGUAGCUGGUCUGAGAGGACGAUCAGCCACACUGGGACUGAGACACGGCCCAGACUCCUACGGGAGGCAGCAGUGGGGAAUUUUGGACAAUGGGCGAAAGCCUGAUCCAGCAAUGCCGCGUGUGUGAAGAAGGCCUUCGGGUUGUAAAGCACUUUUGUCCGGAAAGAAAUGGCUCUGGUUAAUACCUGGGGUCGAUGACGGUACCGGAAGAAUAAGGACCGGCUAACUACGUGCCAGCCGCCGCGGUAA